GAUGAAGAACGUGGCGAAAUGCGAUAAGUAGUGUGAAUUGCAGAAUUCAGUGAAUCAUCGAAUCUUUGAACGCACAUUGCGGCCAUAGGUAUUCCUUUGGCCAUGCCUGUUCGAGCGUCAUUUACACCCUCAAGCCUAGCUUGGUGUUGGGCGUCUGUCCCGCCGUUCUCGCGCGCGGACUCGCCUCAAAGUCAUUGGCGGCGGUCGUGCCGGCCCCCUCGCGCAGCACAUUUGCGCUUCUCGGAGGCCCGGCGGAUCCGCGCUCCAGCAAGACCUUUCACGACUUGACCUCGGAUCAGGUAGGGAUACCCGCUGAACUUAAGCAUAUCAAUAAGCGGAGGA
rnacentral:misc_RNA from 1 species